rnacentral:rRNA from 1 species
UGAUGGGGAGCGAAAUUUAGUAGCGAAGUAGCUGAUUUCACACUGUCAAGAAAAGUCUCUAUCGAGGUUAAAGGUACCCGUACCGCAAACCGACACAGGUGGGUGAGGAGAGUAUCCUAAGGCCAGCGAGAGAACUGUUGUUAAGGAACUCGGCAAAAUGACCCCGUAACUUAGGGAUAAGGGGUGCCACCAUCAGGUGGCCGCAGAGAAUAGGCCCAAGCGACUGUUUACCAAAAACAUAGGUUUCUGCUAAGUCGCAAGACGAUGUAUAGGAGCUGACGCCUGCCCGGUGCUGGAAGGUUAAGGGGAUCUGUUAGAGCAAUCGAAGCAGUGAACUUAAGCCCCAGUAAACGGCGGCCGUAACUAUAACGGUCCUAAGGUAGCGAAAUUCCUUGUCGGGUAAGUUCCGACCCGCACGAAAGGCGUAACGAUUUGGGCACUGUCUCAACAACAGACUCGGUGAAAUUGUAAUUCCGGUGAAGAUGCCGGAUACCUGCGACAGGACGGAAAGACCCCAUGGAGCUUUACUGUAGCUUGACAUUGGGUCUUGGUACUACAUGUACAGGAUAGGUGGGAGGCUUUGAAACCAGGACGCCAGUUUUGGCGGAGCCAUCCUUGGGAUACCACCCUUGUAGUACUGGGACUCUAACCAUAGGCCAUGAAUCUGGUCUUGGGACACUGUCAGGUGGGCAGUUUGACUGGGGCGGUCGCCUCCCAAAAGGUAACGGAGGCGCUCAAAGGUUCUCUCAGUACGGUCGGAAAUCGUACGUAGAGUGUAAAGGCAAAAGAGAGCUUGAUUGCAAGACAUACAGGUCGAGCAAGGAUGAAAAUCGGACUUAGUGAUCCGGUGGUUCUGCGUGGAAGGGCCAUCGCUCAACGGAUAAAAGCUACCCUGGGGAUAACAGGCUUAUCUCCCCCAAGAGUCCACAUCGACGGGGAGGUUUGGCACCUCGAUGUCGGCUCAUCACAUCCUGGGGCUGUAGUAGGUCCCAAGGGUUGGGCUGUUCGCCCAUUAAAGUGGUACGCGAGCUGGGUUCAGAACGUCGUGAGACAGUUCGGUCCCUAUCCGUCG